CCAGACUCCUACGGGAGGCAGCAGUGAGGACUCUUGGUCAAUGGGCGGGCGCCUGAACCCGCCCCGCCGCGUGCCGGCCGAAGGCGCCAAGCGUCGUAAACUUCUUUUGUCGGGGAACCACGGGCGCCCCGUGUGGCGUUGUGAGUGUACCCGAAGAAAAAGCAUCGGCUAACUCCGUGCCAGCAGCCGCGGUAAUACGGCAGGUCCGGGCGUUAUCCGGAUUUAUUGGGUUUAAAGGGAGCGUAGGCCGCAUGUGAAGCGUGCCGUGAAAUGCCGUGGCUCAACCAUGGCACUGCGGCGCGAACUGGCUUGCUUGAGUGCGCGGAACGUAUGCGGAAUUCGUGGUGUAGCGGUGAAAUGCUUAGAUAUCACGAAGAACUCCGAUUGCGAAGGCAGCAUACGGCAGCGCUACUGACGCUGAAGCUCGAAGGCGCGGGUAUCGAACAGGAUUAGAUACCCGAGUA
rnacentral:rRNA from 1 species